rnacentral:rRNA from 1 species
UACGGGGGGGGCAAGCGUUGUUCGGAAUUACUGGGCGUAAAGGGCGCGUAGGCGGCCUGCUAAGUCGGGUGUGAAAACUCUGGGCUCAACCCAGAGACUGCAUUCGAAACUGACGGGCUAGAGUACUGGAGGGGAAAGCGGAAUUCCUGGUGUAGCGGUGAAAUGCGUAGAUAUCAGGAGGAACACCGGUGGCGAAGGCGGCUUUCUGGACAGUAACUGACGCUGAGGCGCGAAAGCUAGGGGAGCAAACAGG